GGCGUAAUGCAGGAUAACAUGUUGAACCGCAUGGUUCUACAGUGAAAGGCGGCUUUGCUGUCACUUAUAGAUGGACCCGCGCCGUAUUAGCUAGUUGGUGAGGCAACGGCUCACCAAGGCAACGAUGCGUAGCCGACCUGAGAGGGUGAUCGGCCACACUGGAACUGAGACACGGUCCAG
rnacentral:rRNA from 1 species